GUCAAUGACUUUAAAUAGCUCCAUUGGCCAGGUCUUACUAAAUACAGGGGUUAAGAAAAGGCCUUUGAAAUGUUGCAUCCUUCCAGCCUGGUCACAACAACUCUUUGGUGUGUGGCAGAACAGAAACCAGACUUGGUGGACAGACAGAAAGGAGAAGAUGUCCUUUCAAAGGAGACGCUCUCGAGGAUCAGCGGAUAGAGAGAGGCAGGGUCUGCAGAGAAAAGAACGGCAACCUGUUCCCCAGACCAGCACAGAUAACAAGGCCACAUUGGACCUACCAAAGCCCAGAGGGAAAUGCUCCAGACUGGGUGGAUGGAUGUAUGUCCUGUUGUCAUUUUAACCCUUUUUAUUCUGAGAUGUGCAUUUCAGCGGUAGGUAACUACUGUCUUGCUUUGAGGAAACCGGGAGUUACAGCCCUUGCUUGCUGCUCGCAACCCCGAAGCAGGGGCCGGAUGCAGCUAAACAUGUUGGGGAAACAUGGCUGGUAAGCAGGGUUGCUUUAGCUUGGAUGCCCAGUCUAAAAUCAGGGUGGGAUUUCUCCCUAAGUCAAAUUAAUUCAAGUGUUGGAGGGGAAGGCCCCCGGGAGGGAGGAAGGGUCCAAGCUACAGUGAACAGAAGGAGUAGGAUGCAUGCUGUAGGGUUACAUGCUGUAUUUCUGCCUUCUUCAAGAGCUUCCCAAACUAAAUAUAGCCUAGUCCUGGAAAAUUCAUCAGCGUGUAGGUGUGUGUCACGGGGGGAGGAGAAGGGGAGGGGGGCAAUGAAAAGCUGCUGAGGGUGGUUUUGUGGAAAUACUGGAGAGACAGAAGCACAAAUUAGUCAUGGGAGAGACCACUCAGUCAUUGGAUCUAAUUGUUCGAGUGAUUCAUCCACAAGAAACCGCUGCGUUGCCUGACGUCUUGCAAUUCGUUCUUUAUUUAGAAAGCAGCUUGGCUUUACCAUGAAUAUGUGGAUUUUUGUCCCAAUGGCUUUUUGAUAGCUGGGUGCCUGCUCCAUCCUUGUAUUAUCAUCAUUUCUAAACCGCAAAGUUCAAAGAAAAAGAAAAAGCAGCAAAAUUAUGGGGUUUCUCAUUCCUCAAGAUCUGGGUGGAAUGAAGCUAUAAUCUUGCAACAUCAAAGGGGAAUCUAUAGUAUGUGCCAUUUUCAACGCCGAUAUUUGUGCAGCGAAGGUUUAUAAAGGGGAAGGCGGAGCGCUUCUACCGCUCUGACUGCGAUGUGGUUAACUGUGGACUGGAAUGGAGUGAAAGCAGGGGAAUUGGAGGUGACGGGAAAAAUCGGUGGGCCUGAAAGGCUCAGAAAUGUAGGAGGGCAAGACUAUGGUUUCUAGAAGAGCUGAGGUCCACUAAUUUAACUUCUCCUUUAGAGGCACAUAGCAGCACGCGAAAAGCCAACCAUUGCUGAGAAAAACAUGCAUUCAGGCUCCAACAGAUGGUUUGUGAAGUGAACUUGUGACAUUAGAAACAUGCAAAAAAAAGUGCUUGCACAGAAGGGUAAGACUUACAUUGCAUCUGCUGGUUUGGCUUUUGCCCAUCCAGAUGGAUCUCUGGGGAAAAUCACAGGAGCCUUUUUUGUGGUUAUGUGUAAGGAAACAAUCAGAGAAGUGCCAAAAUCCAGAUGAAAACUUUCCCACCAGAGAUGCACCCAAAAAAGUUCAGACCCAGAGCUAAAUACUGUGGCUUGGGCCCAUCUCUAAACUUCACAGACAUGAUGAUGAUGGACACCAUGCAACCAAGAAACCUGGCUGUUGCUUUGAUAAUGACAAUCUCUAUUUAAUGCAAGUUUAGUUGAAAUAUAGGCUGAAGAAGGAUCUUUCUGAGCUAACUCCAGCAAAGACCACAACCCCCUGGGCAAAUCCAUGGUUUUCUGCACUGCUUAUCUGACCCCUCCAAACUCCCAAGUCCCAAUUUGGUGCUGUGACCACUAUCCUUAUUGCCUCCCAGGAUUGUAUGAGACAAGGUAAAUCCCUUGCAAGCUGCGACAUCAGGGAACAUGCAACUGUGCUGCAUUUGUGGAGCAUGACAACACCCAGAAAACACAUGGUGAAAUCCCGGCAGACCUCUCAGGCUGCAAAAUAUCAUGGGACCAGUCCUGGAGGGAAGCAGCAAAUGAAAAUGUUCCAGAGGUGAACUGGAUUCAGAUGUCUCACAAGGUCACUUCUAUUCAAACCAUACCCCUCUUGCACUUCUGUCCACCAGCACCCUUGUGGCAUGCAGUAGGCUUGAAGUCAUUAGCAUUUGGGACUCGGCUAAAGGGAAGGCAAUAACACUGGAAAAAGAGAGGAAUGGAAAAUCUGCUCACUUUAUUAAAAUAUUUCCUGUGAAAACAAUUCUCUUUGAUGAUUAGGAGAAAAACAAACUCCACCUUAUUAUUUAUAGGUCACGGUGAUUUGUUUCUUCCCAAUGGGGUAUGUCUUAGUGUCAUCGGCUGGCAGGGACCAGGCUUAUUUCUUACUCAGUGCAGCAGAAAUCUGGAAAAAGGGGCGCAUCUGAGGCCCCAGCCGCUUGUGGCAACAUAAUCAUGUUAUAAAAAAUUGGACUGCAAAGCGAAAACAAGUGGCUGACUAGAGCGAGGAUGUGUUAUUUUUAUUUAUGCGUCUGUAACUGUCUUUCUGGAAGAUGAGCUUUAAUCCUUCAGCAUGGUCGUGUAUUUUCCAUGUUCUGGAUUGCUCUGACAAAGCAUAUUUUGGUGUGCUGCCCGCUGAUUGAAUCGGGCUGAAUUCCUGGUGCAAGUUAAAUUGCCCGGUGCCACAUGAGGUGUUUUCAAUGCAAUGCGAUCGGGCUCCUCUUGUGCCAUCAGAAAUACAUACUGUGCAGCAAACAGAGAUGGACCUAGAUUCAGAGCCAUGACUGAGCAACAGCUCUGUCUGGAGGUUUCACUCCUCUUCUUCCACUUUUAAUUACUUUAAUUAGCAUCCCUAUAGUGCCUAAGAGCUCCAGGCAGCAUAAACCAGGGCCUCACCUGCUUGGUGCUGUACAAACACAGCACAAUAUGACCACCUCUGCCUCCACAGUGCUAUUUUUCUUCUCUAGAUUUGAUUGCUGAGGGGAAAUGUCCCUGCAAAGAAGUGUGAACUACUACCGAGACAGAACGGCAAAGUUUUGCACCCCGGAUAAGUGCAUGCUCAGGACUGACUCUGCAUUGGCCUUUAUCUGGGGCCAUCUUACAGAUGUGCAGAGCACCUAGUACAUUUUGGAUAUGUGGAUCAUCUUCUCCCUGAUGCAAGCUGAGUUGUGUCUUACUCCAAGAAUGGGUCACUUGUUAUCAGUCAAGUCCAUGCAGGAAGAUCUGGUCUAAUAAUAAUAACCAUACAUCUUGCUGGUCUGAAUGUCGUAGCUUGUUCAGAAAAGUGGAAGCAAUAGAUGGGUUAUCAUUAAUAAGAGGAAGGAGGAAUAAAGAGAAGUAAACUCCCAUGACAUGGAUUUUGAUUACUUCCACAGGUUCCAGGCUAUAUUGCAGACUGUGCCAAGUCAGUCUGGUUCGUUCCUACUAUUUUUCCUGUCUUCAUCUCCUAUUUGCAAUAUCUUCUUGGAAGCUGGAACAUCAGCAGCUUUCGAAGAUAGCUUUGUCCUUUGACAUUUGGCAGAGGUGGGUUUUUUCCAUUGUGUGCAAUGGAAGUAGAGCGAGCAGUUUGUUUUGAACAGCCACCUUGAGUUCAGCAGAGCCAGCUGCCAAGCCGAUCUCUAUCUAUCUUCAUGCAUCUUGGUGGACGUGGGACUCGCACAGCUGUAAAGAUGGCGUGCAUGGAGGCUGCCCAGCUGCGAAACAUGCUGGAUUUUGCAGGUCCUGCGAAAAAAGAGAGAACUAUGCUUUUAUUGUCCAGUCCUAGAGAAGUGAUUUUGUGGAGGGAGGCCCUCUUCAUUGCUCCCCUGUUUGUUUUCCCUUCUGUAAAAUGAGGUUUAUCCCUGCUUUGGUGGGAAAGAGAUUUUGAUGCUUAAUUAAUUGUUCGUAAGAAGCUUUGAAUAAAGGCAAUUAUGGCAGUGAAUUUUCUUUCUAGUCUGGAACUUGCACGGCUCUUGCUAAUGAGAUUAGAACAUAAAUUUGGAGCCUAAAUUACUUGUUGCUUUUUCCCUUCUUCUUUCGAGAGCGCGUGUUUUCUAGGGAGUUGGUUUGUGGCAUCUGGCAAGUAACCGUUAUGGUAGGCAAGCUCUGAUUCUGAUCUCAUCACCCAUUUUAGCGGAGUUAAGUCUGAUUUACACUGAUGCAACAAGGGAGAGAGUCAAGCCCGUGGUUUGUGCAUGUG